rnacentral:rRNA from 1 species
CGUAACAGGUCUCCGUAGGUGAACCUGCGGAGGGAUCAUUACAAGUGACCCCGGUCUAACCACCGGGAUGUUCAUAACCCUUUGUUGUCCGACUCUGUUGCCUCCGGGGCGACCCUGCCUUCGGGCGGGGGCUCCGGGUGGACACUUCAAACUCUUGCGUAACUUUGCAGUCUGAGUAAACUUAAUUAAUAAAUUAAAACUUUUAACAACGGAUCUCUUGGUUCUGGCAUCGAUGAAGAACGCAGCGAAAUGCGAUAAGUAAUGUGAAUUGCAGAAUUCAGUGAAUCAUCGAAUCUUUGAACGCACAUUGCGCCCCCUGGUAUUCCGGGGGGCAUGCCUGUUCGAGCGUCAUUUCACCACUCAAGCCUCGCUUGGUAUUGGGCAACGCGGUCCGCCGCGUGCCUCAAAUCGACCGGCUGGGUCUUCUGUCCCCUAAGCGUUGUGGAAACUAUUCGCUAAAGGGUGUUCGGGAGGCUACGCCGUAAAACAACCCCAUUUCUAAGGUUGACCUCGGAUCAGGUAGGGAUACCCGCUGAACUUAAGCAUAUCAU